rnacentral:snRNA from 1 species
GUGCUUGCUCAGGCUGCAUAUACGAUAAAUAGUAAUUAAUACAAAGAAGAGUAGUGUGACCCCUAAGGAAGGAUGAGACGCAAAUACAAGCAGUGGUUUUACAUUUG